GCAGCUUGCUGGACUGUAACUGACGCUGAGGCACGAAAGCGUGGGGAUCAAACAGGAUUAGAUACCCUGNUAGNCCACGCCGUAAACGAUGAAUGCUAGCUGUUAGCGAUAUACUGUUAGCGGCACAGAGAAAUCGUUAAGCAUUCCACCUNNNNAGUACGCCGGCAACGGUGAAACUCAAAGGAAUUGACGGGGGCCCGCACAAGCGGAGGAACAUGUGGUUUAAUUCGAUGAUACGCGAGGAACCUUACCUGGGCUUAAAUUGCAGUGGAAUAACGUGGAAACAUGUUAGCCUUCGGGCCGCUGUGAAGGUGCUGCAUGGUUGUCGUCAGCUCGUGCCGUGAGGUGUCGGCUUAAGUGCCAUAACGAGCGCAACCCUCAUCGAUAGUUACUAACAGGUUAAGCUGAGGACUCUAUCGAGACUGCCGACGUAAGUCGUGAGGAAGGUGGGGAUGACGUCAAAUCAGCACGGCCCUUACGUCCAGGGCUACACACGUGUUACAAUGGGGGGUACAAAGGGCAGCUACCUGGCGACAGGAUGCUAAUCUCAAAAACCUCUCUCAGUUCGGAUUGGAGUCUGCAACCCGACUCCAUGAAGCUGGAUUCGCUAGUAAUCGCGCAUCAGCCACGGCGCGGUGAAUACGUUCCCGGGCCUUGUACACACCGCCCGUCAAGCCAUGGGAGCCGGGGGGACCUGAAGUAUGCAACCGUAAGGAGCGUCCUAGGGUAAAACUGGUGACUGGGGCU
rnacentral:rRNA from 1 species